UCUCCAUUCCACACACUCUCUCGCUCACUCUGACCGCCGAGAGAGUGUGUGAGAUGGAGAGA
rnacentral:pre_miRNA from 1 species